rnacentral:rRNA from 1 species
AAAGAAGCCUUCGGGCGGAAUUCCGUGAGCUUAGUGGCGAACGGGUGAGUAACGCGUGAGCAACCGGUCCCAAAGAGGGGGACAACUUUGAGAAAUCAAGGCUAAUACCGCGUAAGACCACACUGUCGCAUGACAGAGGGGUCAAAGGAGAAAUCCGCUUUGGGGAGGGCUCGCGUCUGAUUAGGUAGUUGGUGAGGUAACGGCUCACCAAGCCGACGAUCAGUAGCCGUGCUGAGAGGCAGGCCGGCCACACUGGAACUGAGACACGGUCCAGACUCC